GUGAUUCAUGACACCUAUAACCUGGAUAUGUUUUUUGGAAAGUUAAAUGUGUAUGAGAAAAUGUUUAACUAUGUAGUAGCCAACUUAUAAACAGUAUCUAUAGCAUCCUGUUACUCAUCAAACCUCCCCAUUAGAAGUGCUGAAUGUCAGGCUAGGAUACAGCACAGUUAGAGGGCUUUUGUAGCAUGUGCAAGGUCCUGGUGUGAUUCCCCCCGCAAAGCAAAACAAUACAAAACAUGAAAUAUGCUUUCUUGUGAAAUCUUUUUCGUAGUACAACAAUGAUAAAAGCUGUGUCUUUUAAAUUCCACUUGUUGAGUCAUGCCUUCACAAACAGUAUUUGAGGUAAAGCUGUGAGUCUCAACAUUAAAUAAUUCCACCACAUUUUCCUCCAUUUUAAUUUAUUUACUUUUAUUUUCUUUUUUGGUGCAUGUUCAUACUGUAUGUGUGUAUAUGUGGAUGAACGUGGAUGGAAUUGUGUGUGCAUGCACGCGAGGUCCAGAAGUCAGUGUGAAGAGUCUCCCACUAUUACCCUCACCUUAUCUUUUGAGAUGGUGUCUCUCACUGGUCACUGAUUGGCUACUAGGCAGGUCACUGAGCUCUAGGGAUCCAUCUGUCUCUUUCUAAAGGCUCACACCACCUCAGCCUUUAUGGAAGUGUCAGGCAUCUGAACUCCUGUCCUCAUGUUUACACAGUAGGCAUUUCACUGACUGAGACAUCUCACCAGCCCUUGAGUAUUUUUAGAAGAAAAUUUCCCAGUAAUGACUUUAGUAAAAACAAUAACAGGAGCAACAAAAUGACAACAAAAAGUCAAAAUCUUCCAAAUAGAACUAUUUUUCCUCAUUUAAAAAUAUUUCUGGUACUCACAAUUGCAUAGUUUAACAGCCAUGUGACUCUACCAUAAGGAAGACAUACUCUUGGUACUAAAAGAAGAUACCAAGAGGGGGGAUGAUUCUUCUGGAGGAAUUCAUUCCCUUUGUGGAUGAAAAUCGCUUUGAGAACAGGCAUACCAAUUUGUGUAGGUGUAUUUAAAACAGUAUUAUCGUAUCACUAUAACUUACUGGAGAAUAUGUGAGUUGGCAGUCAGUGUAUUCAAUAUUCUAAGUUUAGUAUUCUCAAUGUGAUUGGGUAGAUCAAAACAUAAAUUUGGGAUUCCAAGGAAUGAACUCUUGGGUAGCAAAAUUAGAUUAAUGGCCAUUUUUAAAUUGAUAAGCAUAAUAUAUCUGAUUUGCACAUCCUAACUGUAUGAUAAUGUUUACAUGUGACUCAUCCUAUUCCAUAUAAAUGAGUAAUGUUAUUUAUGCAAAUUACCAAGGACAUUGCCUAGCACAAAGGAAAUAUGUUAGCAUGUUAAUGCAACCACUUCCUUCCAGUUAAAUUUAAUAAAGACACUAGUUAGAAAUCAUUAUAUCCAAAGUUAUGCUGGACUGUCUAAGAAAAUAUAUCUGUUUAACUUAUUUAAGUAUAAAUGUAGGUCAUGAUUUUAAGAUCCAUUCUAACAAAUAUACAUUUAGGUUUCAGCCUAUGAGAAGCAAGAAGAAUACUAUCUAAAAGAUUAUGAAUUCUCUUUACUUUGAGGAGUUUAUAGCUUUUUGCCAUAAUUUGUGGGUAAAACUGUAAAGUAGGCCUAUGCUGUAACUAAAUUUGGAGGCAGUCAUACAGCGAGACCUGGAGUGUCCAGACAGAAUGUGGGCUGAACUCUUUCUGAGUGGACAGAGCAUCUGGGCAUCAGUGAUAGAAUCUUCCUUACAGGAGAAAUGUUUAAUUCAACUUGAGACUUUAGGAAAGUUGUCUAAGAUAAACAAGAGCUUGACAGGUCUUUCACUUCCCAGGAUCAGGAAAUUGAAUGAGAACCCAAGAUCUAAAGUCCCUGUGUCAGCUGGGACUUGGGUCUGAGAAGAGCUGGGACUGGUAAUAUGGGCUGGAUGAACCUUAUAUUCAGAGAACUAGGAAGGUUUGUUCUUUCAAAUUUACUAAAUUUCUGUCUCUUUUCUUUCUUUCUGUGUUGCUUGAGAUGAAACCGAACUAUCCUGUGUGUGUUAAAGAAGUGCUAUAAACAGAGUGAGUUCUCCAGCCUUUGUUUUUAAGACAGAAUCUCAUUUUCAGCCCAUACUGUCCUCAAACUCACAACUCCCCUGUCUGUCUCUGAGUCCUAGGAUGACAGGUGUGCACCAACACACCAGCUCUAAAACUCUCUUAUCUGAUGUCCGUUGUUCAUACAUUCAAGGAAUUCCUUCAAUCUAGUAUGGUGCAUCUUAGCAAUUUCAAGUUCAGAAGGGUCGACUAUUUCACAUUUUCAUAUUGAAUAAACCUUGCCCUAUGCUCAUUAGAUGACAAUUUCCCAUUUCUUCCUCCCCUAACUACUGGCAACUCCCAUUGUUGGGAGAUAUUCGAUCACACUGUGAACCCCAAGUUUGUGUUUGCAUUAAAUGAAAUCAACCUUGGAUCAGGAGGCCAAGUUAGCAACUAGUUGACAGAAAGUAAUCAUAGAGAGUCAUAGGGUGUCUGUAAGAUGAUAGACACACAGGAAGUAAUAGGGAGGAACUUAGUGUAGCGUUCUUUUGGGUUGGCGGAGUAGGUGGAACCUCUCUUUUUGAGACACCAGCAAAGAGAGAAGGCCAGCUAGUUGCUACUCAACCUCUCUGAGCUAGCAGGUUUUCACCCCAGCCUUUGACUCCAAGUCUUAUUGUUAAAUAGAAUGAUAGAGAUUUAAUCAAAAGCUAUAUAAUCAGCAGUUAUAUAGCCAGUGCUUGCAGGAACAGAAUUCUCACCAGGCAGUGGCCUAAGCAGCCAGGCCAAUGCCAGAGAAGCAGGCCAGUAAUCCCAGAGCCUCAUUAGCUGGAUGAAACAACAGAUUAAAGCACAGCCUCUGCAAUGAUGGAAAACAACAUCCCAGUCUAGUUUUUCCUAUGAAUUUGACUAUUUCAGAGGCUUCAUGUAAGUGACAUCAUAACACAUUUUAUAUUGUGCCUUGUUGUCCUUCUGGGUCAUCCAAGUUGUAAAAUAACAUUAGAAGUUCUUCAUUCUUAUGGCUGAACAACAUUCCACUGUAUGUGUAUAUUUUGCUUUUUUCCUUUAUCUAUUUUGAUGGACAUUUGGAUGGCUUUCAGCACUGGGCUGUUGGGAUGCCACUACAUUGAAUAAGGAUACUAAGCUAUAUGUUCAAGUUUUCAUUACAAUUUUUUUGGAUAUAUGACCCGAAGUGGAAUUUUUAUAUCACAUGGUAAUUCUACACUUCUUUACUUCUUUCUUUCCUUUGAGGAACUUCUAUAUUAUUUUUCAUAAUGACCAUGUUGUUUCACUUUCUCACCAGCAGUUCAUAAACAUCCCAGCCUCUCAUGACCCUGUUGCUUUGUUACUAAUCUUCUGUUUUAUUCUUUUUUAGGGACCUUCACCAGCAGCAUGUUUUGUGGAUGUAAGAGUUCUGGGAAUGGUAGAAUCUUCAUAAGUUCCUUUGCUAGUUAAUUUCAUUUUUGUUUCCUUUUUUGAGGGUGGGAGCAAGGACAGUGUUAGAGAUUGACAGUGCUUGAACAAAAACACAGAGCAAAUAGAGUUGUUGUUGUUUUUUUUCAGUCACACUUUGACUAUAUAUUGGUGUCAGUGAGCAGGAUGACCCCCAUGCCCCAAGGUUCCUAGAGGAAGAGGGAAACCUGCUGCCACUGCCUACCCUGUUGGGCCGCUGAGAGACAUCGGAGCAGGUUCCAUACGCUCGAGCAGUCUCUGUGCUCUUGGGGGUUGGACUCUGGCACUCCCGAGAUGGCCUGCAGCUCUUGAGGGUUCUAGGGUUAGGAUUCUGAGCUCUCACCACCACAAGCUAUCUUCGUGCAACUAGUCGAACAGUGGCAGAACCUGGGCAGCUGGAGAAAAUCAAAAGCUGUGGAUUCCUUCCAGACUAAUAUGGUUUGAUCAAGCAAGACCCCUGAAGCUGAGAUGAUACAGUCUUACAGACUAUGAAAACAAGGACUUGGUCGAAUUUCUGUGUUUUAUCAUGAUCCCUAUGUGAGACACAACUGCUCCUGGCACACCAAUUACAUCAGAAAGGAGGAUGGGCAUCGAAGAAACUCGUUAUGGAGUUUGCUUUCAACAUGGCAAGAUUAGCCAUUUGGGCAAGAAACUACUCUUGCCUGGAUUGUUUGUUGCUGUAUAAACUGGACGUGCAGGACCCACAAGAAAGUGACUGCUGAACUUACAAAACAAGACAGUACUGAAGGGUCCUGUUGAAAUGCAGAAGUGUGCCAGACACACAGCAGAUGUGGUGCUGGAGCUCAGAGUCCUACAUCUUGACUCAGAGGCAACAGGAAGUCAGCUGGCUGUCACACUGUGGGAAACUUGAGCAAAAGAGUCCUUACAGCCCACCCUCACAGUGACACACUUCCUUUAAGAAGGCUACAACUCCCAAUAGUGCCACUCCCUUUGGGGGCCAUAUUCUUUCAAACCACCACACUUGGGUGCAGCUUCCCUGUCAUAUAUAGAAGACACAGCCUCACAGCAGACAUCCUGUCUCUCUGGCUUUUACGAUCUUCUUAAUGCUUACAGAAGGCAUGCAAAACCUUGCAUCUAUUCCAUCUCUAGAUGUAUCUCUGCUUCAGCCAAACCUCAUUACACACUGUUGCUUUCCAGUGUCUUAUCAGCCAUGUGUUUAAGUGCUUCACCCUGAUUAGAACACACUUCCUGUCAUGUAACAUGAAAAAUAAAAAGCCCCAGAGACUGAUAUUGGGGUUCAAACUUCAAGCUGAAGAUCAGAAAAGAAAAGCAGCCAAUCCUAGCUUUUACCUUUACCUCAGGCUGAAAAGGCUGAUCCUGCUGCCUCUCCUCAGAGUGACUGGAGAUUCCUGAGACUGAAUGUCCUCCUAUCCUCAAUGUGUCUGGAGGAUGAAUUCUCAAUACUGAGACCUUGCUCCUGUCUUAUAUACCUCUCAUGAGUUCCAGGAUUAAAGGUGUGAGCUCUAAUUCUCUUUUAAACUGAUUUACUCUAAUGUGUCCUUGGGCGGCCUUGAAUUUAGAGAGAUCCAUCUGCCUUUAACUCCUGAAUCCUGGGAUUAAAGGUGUGUACUACCACCUACUGACCUCUAUAGCUUGUGGCUGACUUUGCUUUCUGAAUCCUCAGGCAAGCUUUAAUAAAUCAUAAAUGAUACAUCACCACACUAUCCUCACCUCAGAUUCACCUGGGAAAAUGGCUUGGACUUUACCAAGACUUAACCCAACUGACACUUACUUCUUGUUUCACACCUUACCUCUUUGCCAUUGUGUCAAGGAGGUGUCUGGGUAGUCACUUCCCACUGAUAUACACAAUCUCUUCUUUUUGAGCACUGCAAUCAGUAGCAUUUCAACAUAGCUCCCACCAUAUCUUACCGCAUGGCUUUCCACUCCUGAAUCUCUCUCCCUCUGCUGUGGGCUCCUCAGGAGUGGAGGUCAAGUUAGUUGCAACAUGUCUCAAGUCACAGUUUGUCCAAUGCCCAUUAAAUGUAUAUUGAAUUAAAAGUUGGAAAAUCUAUGAGUGAACAGAUGUUUGUGAGGGGUGUAAGUGAAUGGACACUGAAAUCAGACUGGAUAGGUAUCUAUAAUUCUGUUCAAUUAAAUGUGAUAGUGCGCUGGGCAGUGGUGGCACACGCCUUUAAUCUGAGCACGUGGAAGGCAGAUCUCUGAGUUCAAGGCCAGACUGAUCUACAAAGCAAGUUUCAGGACAGCCAGGAUUACACAGAGAAAUCCUGUCUCAAACCACUCCCCUACAAAUGUGACAGUGUUAUGUAAACUUCAGAGACAACCUCACAGCAACUCUGGAGCUAAAAUUCAAACCCAGAUCUUCCAAACCAGCACUGUCUGUAAUAUUGCC
rnacentral:lncRNA from 1 species